rnacentral:lncRNA from 1 species
CUGGAUCAUCCCGAGUUGGAUGAGGGUACAUCGAGCAAGAUGUCUCCCAGGGACGAGCAGGGUGCUCGUGUCCUUAAAACCUCUAAGAGGAGUAUUGUCCUCCUUUCUCCGGUGCGCGUGCUGAGA